rnacentral:rRNA from 1 species
GGGCCCGCACAAGCGGUGGAGCAUGUGGUUUAAUUCGAUGCAACGCGAAGAACCUUACCAGGGCUUGACAUGCUACAAAUCUUUUAGAGAUAGAAGAGUGCUUUCGAGAAUGUAGAUACAGGUGGUGCAUGGCUGUCGUCAGCUCGUGUCGUGAGAUGUUGGUUAAGUCCCGCAACGAGCGCAACCCUCGUUUUUAGUUGCCAGCAUUUAGUUGGGCACUCUAAAGAAACUGCCCGUGAUAAGCGGGAGGAAGGUGUGGAUGACGUCAAGUCCUCAUGGCCCUUACGGGUUGGGCUACACACGUGCUACAAUGGCAGUGACAAUGGGU